AACCGGCGCACGGGUGAGUAACACGUGGACAACCUGCCCUGGAAACUGGGAUAACCCGUCGAAAGACGGACUAAUACCGGAUAAGACCACGGGGAGUUCGCUCUCUGGGGUAAAAGGUGGCCUCUGCUCCUGCAAGCUAUCAUUCGAGGAGGGGUUCGCGGCCUAUCAGCUUGUUGGUGAGGUAACGGCUCACCAAGGCUUUGAUCGUUAGCCGGUCUGAGAGGAUGGCCGGCCACACUGGAACUGAGACACGGUCCAGACUCCUACGGGAGGCAGCAGUGGGGAAUCUUGCGCAAUGGGCGAAAGCCUGACGCAGCGACGCCGCGUGGGGGAUGACGCUUUUCGGAGUGUAAACCCCUUUCGAUCGGGACGAAUGCCCCGCAAGGGGAGUGACGGUACCGGUAGAAGAAGCCCCGGCUAACUACGUGCCAGCAGCCGCGGUAAGACGUAGGGGGCCAGCGUUGCUCGGAAUUACUGGGCGUAAAGGGUUCGUAGGCGGUGCGGCAAGUUGGGAGUGAAAUCUCUGGGCUUAACCCAGAGGCUGCUUCCAAAACUGCCGUGCUAGAGUGCGAGAGAGGCCAGUGGAAUUGCAGGUGUAGCGGUGAAAUGCGUAGAUAUCUGCAGGAACACCCGUGGCGAAGGCGGCUGGCUGGAUCGCAAC
rnacentral:rRNA from 1 species